rnacentral:rRNA from 1 species
CUGGCGGCAUGCCUUACACAUGCAAGUCGAACGGCAGCACGGGAGCAAUCCUGGUGGCGAGUGGCGAACGGGUGAGUAAUAUAUCGGAACGUGCCCAGUCGUGGGGGAUAACGUAGCGAAAGCUACGCUAAUACCGCAUACGAUCUAUGGAUGAAAGCGGGGGAUCGCAAGACCUCGCGCGAUUGGAGCGGCCGAUAUCAGAUUAGGUAGUUGGUGAGGUAAAGGCUCACCAAGCCGACGAUCUGUAGCUGGUCUGAGAGGACGACCAGCCACACUAGGACUGAGACACGGCCCAGACUCCUACGGGAGGCAGCAGUGGGGAAUUUUGGACAAUGGGCGCAAGCCUGAUCCAGUAAUGCCGCGUGCAGGAUGAAGGCCUUCGGGUUGUAAACUGCUUUGUACGGAACGAAACGGUGAGCUCUAAUACAGUUUGCUAAUGACGGUACCGUAAGAAUAAGCACCGGCUAACUACGUG